rnacentral:lncRNA from 1 species
CCGCGCUCUACCAGGCAGAGCGCGUGUGGCCGCCGAGCACAUGGACCCACUGGUCAAGCGGGCUCGGCAAGGCCAGGAUGAAGAGAAGCUACGAACUUAGCAUUCCCAGAGCCCCCCGAGUGGAUAUCCGCGUGGAAAGGAUGUUGGCAGCCCCGGUGACCUCGGAGUCACGGCUGGAUCCACCCUCUUGUCUGAUUUUCUUAACUCUACUACGGUAAGAAGAUGCCCUCCAUCAGCAGGCCGUGUCUGCUGGGACCUCUCUGGAGACUUCCUGAACCCUGUGGAUUUACAGUAAGAUGCAGUUUCCUGGGGAGUAAUUCUGGUGGAUACAAAUUCCGGAGUAUUACACCUGGCUUGCCUGGAGAUGUUACAAGUAGCUGGAUGGAUUCUUCAGCCUGGAUGCCCACUGAAAACAAGGACCGAAACUAAGAGGAUUGUAUCUCUACCCUUGACUCAAUGAGAAUGUUUGUUGUCAUCUCUCGGGCUACCUGGAGCUCCCUCUAAAAUUAUACCCUUUAAGCGUUCCAGAAGGAUUUUGAGAUCCUUUCCUAAAUCAAAGGUGGAAUAUUUGGGGAUUUGGAAAAUUGAGCAUUUUUUUCCCCACUUGCUUGACUGUAAUGCUAACAUGCUCUCUCUGCUCCAACCUGGAGAAGCC